rnacentral:tRNA from 1 species
CAGAAAAUAGUUUAAUAAAAAUAUUAGUUUUGGGAAUUGAUGAUGGAAAGUAUUUUUCUUUUCUGA